CCCUCCGUCCCCCUCAGCCGGCGGCGGGGCUCGCUGAGGGGUUCCGGGGGUGCCGGUCGCUCUGCGAGGCCUCGCCGUUUCCCGCUCCCUGCCGGGGGACGGGAGCCGCGGGGACAGCGCCCCAGAGCCGCGCCACACGGGGGGGCAGCCUGCGUGCAGGUGACCGUGGGGCUUCAGGUGGUCUCGAAGGCCCUCGUUUGCCCGUUGGAGCUGGCGCCCGGGCUCCUCCCGAGGCGUGCUGGAGGAACGGCCGAUCCUUUUUGAAGCUUCCCUCACGGCGUGACUCGGAGUGCCUUAAACAGUUGCCUGUGGGUGAGGUCUGGUGUCAAGAUUCCGACGUCCGGUGUCCGCUGAUCAGAAGGCCAUUUGUUACCCUCCUCGCGUCCCCCCUGCAAGUGUUAGGUGUUUUCCAGAAUUUCAGGCAGCAUCCCUGUUUUCUGCGAUUAGGCACUGUGAAAUUGCUCGUUGAAUAGAUAAGUCUGUCUGUGCAAACUGCCUUGGCAGAGCUCAGGGUGUCCUCUGAGGCUAGGCCCUGGCAUGAUCCAGCUUUUCGUCUCUCUACUAGGAAAGGAGGUAAACCUUGGUGUAAUCUUGGGGGGUUUUGUGGUUUGUUUGCUUGGGGUUUUUUUAGCUUUUGAAAAUAUUUGUAGCGCUGAUAAGAUGCUACUCCAUGGCUAUCUAUAGCCUGCCUGUAAUUACCAUUUCCCUUCUGACAUGUGCUGGCUGAUGUCAGCCAGCUAAAAGUGGCAUAAAAGUGGAUAGGCUGUAAGGGCACACACCAAGUUAGACAUACACUGAGUAUGGAACAGCUUGAGCCUUUUCUAAGAGGUAGUCCAGUACCAAGUUUUUUCCCCUCAUUGCUAAGAUUUGGGGCUAUAUAAAGACCAGACGAGAAUCAGGUAACGUCUGCAAAGUGCAGACGAAAAGGCAAGUUGAUAAUCGAAAUGCAAAGCAGACUUAUGCUUUCUCUCAAACUCUGUAUUGCCAGCUUUUACGAUUUUAUCACGAGUUUCAUAAUCAGCACUGUUCUUAAAGCUCCUUGGAUCAAGUGGUUGUGCAAAAAUUUCAGCUUAUAUUUUCACUUUUAUAAAAGAAAGCUUGCAAAUGUGACUGGAAUAUUUAUUUCAGAGGCAAAAGUAGAAAACAGACAAAAGGUCCCAAAUGGAUGCAUUUUUCAAGAGAUGAGGUGGGGCUAAUUCAUGAUUAUGAGUAUUUGGGAAUGACACAACCAGAGAGGCAAGCAAAGGAGGGAAACGAAGCCAAUGAAAUGACUGAUUCUACCAAGAAUCAUAAGACAAUGCUGUUCCUCUAGAGUACCUUACACAAUAUGAGAAAGGCCUUUCAGACAGUAGGAGCUGCAUGGAGUUAACGAGAGCAACUGCUGGGUCCACCAUAGAACUUAAGCUGGUCAACAUGAUUAAAGGAAAUUGGAAAUGUUCUUAGGUGAUGUGAGCUGACUCUUGGCAUAGAGUGGGACCUCACCUCCAGUGCACCAUCCCAGGAACUUGGAAGAGCUUCUCUGAUGUUAAUCCCUGAAACCGAGGCAAGACAAAUUCUCUCAGAAGUUUCCCUAUCUUUUCAGUGAGAAGAAGGAAGUGAUAGCUUGACAGAUGAAGAGAUUUGAGAAACAGGAAGGGAUGAGGCGAUUCAUGAUGACUGUCAGGGUUUAGAGAUACAGAAGCAUGAGAAAAGCAACCAUGUAGAGCUGGGGAAGAUGAUACCAGCAGGAGCUGAAGGAACUGAUAGGAGCAAGGGGCCAGAACAGAAGGGAAUGAGGAAGAAGGAAUCUGGAAAGGCAAGACAAAGGUUUAUAACCUGUGUAGAACUGAAGUCAGUAUUCCCAGAAUUGAAGUCAGAAUUCUUAAGUUUCUCUGUUGCCCAGCAAAUGAUUUGAAAUCCACUAUUUUCUAGUGGCUUAUCUGUAUAAUAAGACAAGAUAUUACUUCUGCCAGUUUCUUUGGUUCAAGUGGUAAAGGUUUCCUUGCGACUCUUAAAGGUGCAACAGUGCUGAUGACCCUUGGGAAUGUUAUUAUGACUCCAUGGUGUAAUUAUCUGUGCUUUCUCAAAAAAUCACACACCAUUAUAUGUAAAAAUGAAAAUAAAACCACUUCUGGUUUAGAUAACAGUCUCAUUGGUUGUAUCUUCAUUCAAUUCUAAAAUGUAAUCUGUGCUAUGAACAAAAUAAAAGGGGAGUCUUAA